GAUGAACGCUGGCGGCGUGCCUAAUACAUGCAAGUCGAGCGAACAGACGAGGAGCUUGCUCCUCUGACGUUAGCGGCGGACGGGUGAGUAACACGUGGAUAACCUACCUAUAAGACUGGGAUAACUUCGGGAAACCGGAGCUAAUACCGGAUAAUAUAUUGAACCGCAUGGUUCAAUAGUGAAAGACGGUUUUGCUGUCACUUAUAGAUGGAUCCGCGCCGCAUUAGCUAGUUGGUAAGGUAACGGCUUACCAAGGCAACGAUGCGUAGCCGACCUGAGAGGGGGAUCGGCCACAAUGGAACUGAGACACGGUCCAGACUCCUACGGGAGGCAGCAGUAGGGAAUCUUGGCCAAUGGGCGAAAGCCUGAAGGAGGCACGCCGCGUGGGUGAAGAAGGGCUUCGGAUUGUAAAACCCUUUUUUUGGGGAAGAAAAAAAGGGUGAGUAAACCUGGCCGUUUUGACGGUACCCAAUGAAAAAGCCCCGGCUAACUUCGUG
rnacentral:rRNA from 1 species